UUUGUUUUUAAGGUUGGGCAUGCACAGAUACGUUUCCCAUAUGUCAAAAUGGUGGACACCGUUAUCAUGGAUUCAAGCUUAUAUUAUCUGACGUUAAAUGUGGAGUCUGUUUUUGCCCUGAAGAAUACACCGGUAGAUACUGUCAUCUUUCUAAGAAAUUGGAGUGCGGUAAAUGUAAUGCAACGUUUUGCGACGAUUUGCCACCAUGUAACAACUCAACUGUACGCCCUUGCAGGGAAUCCAUUGAUUCAC